rnacentral:rRNA from 1 species
GGCGGCGUGCCUAACACAUGCAAGUCGAACGGAAUUGAGGGGCUUGCUCUUCAAUUUAGUGGCGCACGGGUGAGUAAUGCGUAGAUAAUCUGCCUGAUGAUCCGGGAUAACAUUCCGAAAGGGGUGCUAAUACCGGAUAAGCCCACGGAGUCUUCGGACACUGCGGGAAAAGGGGGGGACCUUCGGGCCUUCUGUCAUCAGAUGAGUCUACGUACCAUUAGCUAGUUGGUGGGGUAAAGGCCUACCAAGGCUACGAUGGUUAGCUGGUCUGAGAGGAUGAUCAGCCACACUGGAACUGAGACACGGUCCAGACUCCUACGGGAGGCAGCAGUGGGGAAUUUUGCGCAAUGGGGGAAACCCUGACGCAGCAACGCCGCGUGAGUGAUGAAGGCCUUCGGGUCGUAAAGCUCUGUCAGUGGGAAAGAAGUGUAUUACGGCCAAUACCCGUGAUACUUGACGGU